UACGUAGGGGGGCAAGCGUUGUCCGGAUUUAUUGGGCGUAAAGAGCGUGUAGGCGGUUUGGUAGGUCCGUUGUGAAAACUCGAGGCUCAACCUCGAGACGCCGAUGGAAACCAUCAGACUAGAGUCCGGAAGAGGAGAGUGGAAUUCCUGGUGUAGCGGUGAAAUGCGCAGAUAUCAGGAAGAACACCCGUGGCUAAGGCGGCUCUCUAGUACGGUACUGACGCUGAGACGCGAAAGCG
rnacentral:rRNA from 1 species